rnacentral:rRNA from 1 species
AGAGUUUGAUCCUGGCUCAGGAUGAACGCUGGCGGCGUGCCUAACACAUGCAAGUCGAGCGAUCUUCUUCGGAAGAGAGCGGCGGACGGGUGAGUAACGCGUGGGUAACCUGCCUCAUACACGUGGAUAACAUACCGAAAGGUAUGCUAAUACAAGAUGAUAUAAGAGAUUCGCAUGGAUUUCUUAUCAAAGCUCCGGCGGUAUGAGAUGGACCCGCGUCUGAUUAGCUAGUUGGUAAGGUAACGGCUUACCAAGGCGACGAUCAGUAGCCGACCUGAGAGGGUGAUCGGCCACAUUGGAACUGAGACACGGUCCAAACUCCUACGGGAGGCAGCAGUGGGGAAUAUUGCACAAUGGGCGAAAGCCUGAUGCAGCAACGCCGCGUGAGCGAUGAAGGCCUUCGGGUCGUAAAGCUCUGUCCUCAAGGAAGAUAAUGACGGUACUUGAGGAGGAAGCCCCGGCUAACUACGUGCCAGCAGCCGCGGUAAUACGUAGGGGGCUAGCGUUAUCCGGAUUUACUGAGCGUAAAGGGUGCGUAGGUGGUUUCUUAAGUCAGGAGUGAAAGGCUACGGCUCAACCGUAGUAAGCUCUUGAAACUGGGAAACUUGAGUGCAGGAGAGGAAAGUGGAAUUCCUAGUGUAGCGGUGAAAUGCGUAGAUAUUAGGAGGAACACCAGUAGCGAAGGCGGCUUUCUAGACUGUAACUGACACUGAGGCACGAAAGCGUGGGGAGCAAACAGGAUUAGAUACCCUGAUAGUCCACGCCGUAAACGAUGAGUACUAGGUGUCGGGGGUUACCCCCCUCGGUGCCGCAGCUAACGCAUUAAGUACUCCGCCUGGGGAGUACGCUCGCAAGAGUGAAACUCAAAGGAAUUGACGG